GAUAUAGCUCAGUUGGUAGAGCAUCAGACUUAAUCUCAGGGUUGUGGGUUUGGAUUGAGCCCCACGUUGGACA